AGGCAGCAGUGGGGGAAUAUUGCACAAUGGGCGCAAGCCUGAUGCAGCCAUGCCGCGUGUAUGAAGAAGGCCUUCGGGUUGUAAAGUACUUUCAGCAGUGAGGAAGGUGGGUAUGUUAAUAGCAUAUUCAUUUGACGUUAGCUGCAGAAGAAGCACCGGCUAACUCCGUGCCAGCAGCCGCGGUAAUACGGAGGGUGCGAGCGUUAAUCGGAAUUACUGGGCGUAAAGCGCAUGCAGGUGGUUUGUUAAGUCAGAUGUGAAAGCCCGGGGCUCAACCUCGGAAUUGCAUUUGAAACUGGCAAACUAGAGUACUGUAGAGGGGGUAGAAUUUCAGGUGUAGCGGUGAAAUGCGUAGAGAUCUGAAGGAAUACCGGUGGCGAAGGCGGCCCCCUGGACAGAUACUGACACUCAGAUGCGAAAGCGUGGGGAGCAAACAGGAUUAGAUACCCUGGUAG
rnacentral:rRNA from 1 species